rnacentral:rRNA from 1 species
AGAGUUUGAUCAUGGCUCAGAUUGAACGCUGGCGGCAGGCCUAACACAUGCAAGUCGAACGGUAACAGGAAGCAGCUUGCUGCUUCGCUGACGAGUGGCGGACGGGUGAGUAAUGUCUGGGAAACUGCCUGAUGGAGGGGGAUAACUACUGGAAACGGUGGCUAAUACCGCAUAACGUCGCAAGACCAAAGAGGGGGACCUUCGGGCCUCUUGCCAUCAGAUGUGCCCAGAUGGGAUUAGCUUGUUGGUGAGGUAACGGCUCACCAAGGCGACGAUCCCUAGCUGGUCUGAGAGGAUGACCAGCCACACUGGAACUGAGACACGGUCCAGACUCCUACGGGAGGCAGCAGUGGGGAAUAUUGCACAAUGGGCGCAAGCCUGAUGCAGCCAUGCCGCGUGUAUGAAGAAGGCCUUCGGGUUGUAAAGUACUUUCAGCGGGGAGGAAGGUGUUGUGGUUAAUAACCACAGCAAUUGACGUUACCCGCAGAAGAAGCACCGGCUAACUCCGUGCCAGCAGCCGCGGUAAUACGGAGGGUGCAAGCGUUAAUCGGAAUUACUGGGCGUAAAGCGCACGCAGGCGGUCUGUCAAGUCGGAUGUGAAAUCCCCGGGCUCAACCUGGGAACUGCAUUCGAAACUGGCAGGCUUGAGUCUUGUAGAGGGGGGUAGAAUUCCAGGUGUAGCGGUGAAAUGCGUAGAGAUCUGGAGGAAUACCGGUGGCGAAGGCGGCCCCCUGGACAAAGACUGACGCUCAGGUGCGAAAGCGUGGGGAGCAAACAGGAUUAGAUACCCUGGUAGUCCACGCCGUAAACGAUGUCUACUUGGAGGUUGUGCCCUUGAGGCGUGGCUUCCGGAGCUAACGCGUUAAGUAGACCGCCUGGGGAGUACGGCCGCAAGGUUAAAACUCAAAUGAAUUGACGGGGGCCCGCACAAGCGGUGGAGCAUGUGGUUUAAUUCGAUGCAACGCGAAGAACCUUACCUGGUCUUGACAUCCACAGAACUUUCCAGAGAUGGAUUGGUGCCUUCGGGAACUGUGAGACAGGUGCUGCAUGGCUGUCGUCAGCUCGUGUUGUGAAAUGUUGGGUUAAGUCCCGCAACGAGCGCAACCCUUAUCCUUUGUUGCCAGCGGUUAGGCCGGGAACUCAAAGGAGACUGCCAGUGAUAAACUGGAGGAAGGUGGGGAUGACGUCAAGUCAUCAUGGCCCUUACGACCAGGGCUACACACGUGCUACAAUGGCGCAUACAAAGAGAAGCGACCUCGCGAGAGCAAGCGGACCUCAUAAAAUGCGUCGUAGUCCGGAUUGGAGUCUGCAACUCGACUCCAUGAAGUCGGAAUCGCUAGUAAUCGUGGAUCAGAAUGCCACGGUGAAUACGUUCCCGGGCCUUGUACACACCGCCCGUCACACCAUGGGAGUGGGUUGCAAAAGAAGUAGGUAGCUUAACCUUCGGGAGGGCGCUUACCACUUUGUGAUUCAUGACUGGGGUGAAGUCGUAACAAGGUAACCGUAGGGGAACCUGCGGUUGGAUCACCU